UACCUCUGAUCAGAAAGCCGUGGGAGCUACUAGGCAGCGGCCCAAACGUACCGUUGUGGAUUCGACUCACGGUUCUCUACCAGGUUUCAUCCAUAUCCUUUGAUGAAUCCUCUCUGGCAUCUUCAGCAUCCACGGCAACAAUGAAACACAUAAGCCAGUAUCAUACCAUGAAGAGCUGGCAAGAACUUUCCUUCCUCUGCUGGGCCCACAUCUAACUAUUCCUCUUCGUCUGAGCACAAACUCAGCUUCACAAAGCCUUUUGUUCUGGAUCUGGGACUUAUUCAAAAUUCUCAAGUCUCAAGUCAGAAUGGCCAUCAUCAAAAAAUCUACAAACAAUAAAUGCUGGAGAGGGUGUGGAGAAAAGGGAAUCCUCCUACACUAUUGGUAGGAAUGUAAAUUGGUAUAGCCACUAUGGAGAACAGUAUGAAGGCUCCUUAAAAAACUAAAAAUACAGCUACCAUAUGAUCCAGCAAUACCACUCCUGGGUAUAUAUCCAGAGAAAAUCAUGGUUCAAAAGGAUACAUGCACCCCAAUGUUCACUGCAGCACUGUUUACAAUAGCCAAGAAGACAUGGAAGCAACCUAAAUGUCCAUUGACAGAGGAAUGGAUAAAGAAGAUAUGGUACAUAUAUACAAUGGAAUACUACUCAGCCAUUAAAAAGAAUGAAAUAAUGCCAUUUGCAGCAACAUAGAUGGACCUGGAGAUUAUCAUACUAAAUGAAGCAAGUCAGAUAAAGACAAAGAUCAUAUGAUAUUGCUUAUAUGUGGAAUCUAAAAAAAAAUUAUACAAAUGAACUUAUUUACAAAAUAGAAGCAGACU